CCGAGUUGCUGUAAGGAACUUAAAUCGAAUGUCGUCAUGUACUGUCAAAGUAAGGCUUUGAAGGUUGACAUUCGGUUUAAGUUCUUUUCUGCAACUAGC
rnacentral:pre_miRNA from 1 species